rnacentral:rRNA from 2 species
UACGAAGGGGGCGAGCGUUGUUCGGAAUUACUGGGCGUAAAGGGCGCGUAGGCGGCGACUCAAGUUAGAUGUGAAAGUCCUGGGCUUAACCUGGGGACUGCAUUUGAUACUGGGUUGCUUGAAUUCGGGAGAGGAUAGCGGAAUUCCCAGUGUAGAGGUGAAAUUCGUAGAUAUUGGGAAGAACACCGGUGGCGAAGGCGGCUAUCUGGACCGACAUUGACGCUGAGGCGCGAAAGCGUGGGGAGCAAACAGG